rnacentral:ncRNA from 1 species
GGGUAGAGGUCGCGGUAGUUAUGAGUAGAUCGGGGAAGGCGCUGACACGCCUAUGAUACCGAUUGAAGGGAACCACCGCCGAAGUGUUUGCAGCAGUCAGACUGCGGGCGCUGGGGCCGUAUCCGAAAGGAGCGGAACUGUCACACGGAGCUUUUCCAAGCUCGCCGUGUGUUGUGCUAU